GCGCCCGUAGCUCAUCUGGAUAGAGCAUCGUCCUUCCAGGCCGAGUGUAGCAGGUUCGACUAAAAUUGCCGGGAGCA
rnacentral:tRNA from 1 species